UUUGGUUAAGUUAAUAAGGGCGCACGGUGGAUGCCUUGGCACUAGGAGUCGAUGAAGGACGGCACUAACACCGAUAUGCCUCGGGGAGCUGUAAGUAAGCUUUGAUCCGGGGAUUUCCGAAUGGGGGAACCCACUAUCUUUAAUCGGAUAGUAUCUACACGUGAAUUCAUAGCGUGAUGAGGACAGACGCAGAGAACUGAAACAUCUAAGUACCUGCAGGAACAGAAAGAAAAUUCGAUUCCCUGAGUAGCGGCGAGCGAAACGGGAAGAGCCCAAACCAAAGAGCUUGCUCUUUGGGGUUGUAGGACAUUCUAUACGGAGUUACAAAAGAAUGAGCUAGACGAAGCGACUUGGAAAGGUCCGCGAAACAAGGUAAAAGCCCUGUAGUCAAAAGUUCAUUCCCUCCAGAGUGUAUCCUGAGUACGGCGGAACACGUGAAAUUCCGUCGGAAUCUGGGAGGACCAUCUCCCAAGGCUAAAUACUACCUAGUGACCGAUAGUGAACCAGUACCGUGAGGGAAAGGUGAAAAGCACCCCGGAAGGGGAGUGAAAUAGAUCCUGAAACCGUGUGCCUACAAGUAGUUAGAGCCCGUUAAUGGGUGAUAGCGUGCCUUUUGUAGAAUGAACCGGCGAGUUACGAUUACGUGCGAGGUUAAGUUGAGAAGACGGAGCCGCAGCGAAAGCGAGUCUGAAUAGGGCGAAUUAGUACGUGGUCGUAGACCCGAAACCAGGUGAUCUACCCAUGUCCAGGGUGAAGGUGAGGUAACACUUACUGGAGGCCCGAACCCACGCAUGUUGAAAAAUGCGGGGAUGAGGUGUGGGUAGCGGAGAAAUUCCAAUCGAACCUGGAGAUAGCUGGUUCUCUCCGAAAUAGCUUUAGGGCUAGCCUCGUGAUUGAGAAUACUGGAGGUAGAGCACUGUUUGGACUAGGGGCCCAUCUCGGGUUACCGAAUUCAGACAAACUCCGAAUGCCAGAUAUUUAUACACGGGAGUCAGACUGCGAGUGAUAAGAUCCGUAGUCAAAAGGGAAACAGCCCAGACCACCAGCUAAGGUCCCAAAGUAAUCGUUAAGUGGAAAAGGAUGUGGCGUUGCUUAGACAACCAGGAUGUUGGCUUAGAAGCAGCCAUCAUUUAAAGAGUGCGUAAUAGCUCACUGGUCGAGUGACACUGCGCCGAAAAUGUAUCGGGGCUAAACGAUUCACCGAAGCUGUGGAUGCAUCCGUAUGGAUGCGUGGUAGGAGAGCGUUCUAAGGGCGUUGAAGUCAGACCGGAAGGACUGGUGGAGCGCUUAGAAGUGAGAAUGCCGGUAUGAGUAGCGAAACAUGGGUGAGAAUCCCAUGCACCGUAUGACUAAGGUUUCCUGAGGAAGGCUCGUCCGCUCAGGGUUAGUCGGGACCUAAGCCGAGGCCGAUAGGCGUAGGCGAUGGACAACAGGUUGAUAUUCCUGUACCACCUCCUCACCGUUUGAGAAAUGGGGGGACGCAGUAGGAUAGGGUAAGCAGAGCGUUGGUUGUCUCUGUUCAAGCAGUAAGGCGUGUAUGUAGGCAAAUCCGCAUACU
rnacentral:rRNA from 1 species